rnacentral:rRNA from 1 species
UACAGAGGUCUCAAGCGUUGUUCGGAUUCAUUGGGCGUAAAGGGUGUGUAGGUGGCGCUGUAAGUCGGGUGUGAAAUUUCGGAGCUUAACCCCGGAACUGCAUUCGAUACUGCCUUGCUAGAGUACUGGAGAGGAGAUUGGAAUUUACGGUGUAGCAGUGAAAUGCGUAGAUAUCGUAAGGAAGACCAGUGGCGAAGGCGGAUCUCUGGACAGUUACUGACACUGAGGCACGAAGGCCAGGGGAGCAAACGGG